CUCUUUCUCUUCAAGAAGUCCAGAUGUCGAAGAGCAGAACAAGGCUCAGUUCUUUUACUGUCGUAAUGAUUCUCUGAAGAAGUCUUUUGUUGUCGUGCGCCGCCAGCCACGAGCGAAGCGAAGUGCCCGAAGGGGACAACACCCGCGCUAUCUUUCCAGUCUUUUAUUAUUAGUCUCUUCACUGCUCUUCACUAAUCCCUCCAGAUGUUAGUCCCUGUUAUGUCCCGAUUGCGAAAGCAAGCAA
rnacentral:misc_RNA from 1 species